AUGUAAAUAAGUAAAAAUAUACUUACGGUGUGCCCAAUAUGGAAUUACAUGCUUCGGUCUGGAUUCGUCAUCCGAUUCAUCCUCAUCAGACAGGAAGCCACAGGAAGAUACUAGUUUUACUGGUAAACCAUGGUUUUACCCCUCAUGUAUGAACAACAUAACGACUUUUCAGUUUAAUUUGAAUCGCUGCAUCAAGCGCCAUCUAUUCUCCUCGACGCGCCAUUUGCCACCGAUGCUUAAAUUAUACAACUAAUAAUGAAUUCGUCUUUAGUUUUGAUUAUAAUUGAUUUCAUAAGUAAUAAAAUUACAUUUUUAUUUUAAAACA